GUAGGUGGCAAGCGUUGUCCGGAAUUAUUGGGCGUAAAGCGCGCGCAGGGCGGUCCUUUAAGUCUGGGUGUGAAAGCCCACGGGCUCAACCGUGGAGGGUCAUUGGAAACUGGGGGACUUGAGUACAGAAGAGGAAAGCGGAAUUCCAAGUGUAGCGGUGAAAUGCGUAGAGAUUUGGAGGAACACCAGUGGCGAAGGCGGCUUUCUGGUCUGUAACUGACGCUGAGGCGCGAAAGCGUGGGGAGCAAACAGGAUUAGAUACCCUGGUAGUCCACGCCGUAAACGAUGAGUGCUAAGUGUUAGGGGGUUUCCGCCCCUUAGUGCUGCAGCUAACGCAUUAAGCACUCCGCCUGGGGAGUACGGCCGCAAAGGCUG
rnacentral:rRNA from 1 species